rnacentral:lncRNA from 1 species
CACUCCAAGCUCAAGACUGACUAACUGACUCGGUCAGAUAAGCGUAAGAUGUGGGAGGUUCCCUGCUCGUUGCUUUCCUUAGACACCAACUGAGUUGGUCAGGUCAGUCAAGGAAACCAAUUGAAAAUCACUUUCUUUAACCACUUGCCUUAGACACCGAGCAAUUAACCAAUCCGCACUCGGUUCAACUCUAGAGCUUUCUUAUCCUAUUGAGCUCGAAAGUCCUAGGGCUGACGUCUAGUUGAUUUUAGAUUAAGGUCUAGGUUAUGCAAAUGCAAGGGAGUGAUUUGUGGGUCA